AGGAGGAAGUGAUGCCACAGCAGACACACAGAGUGUCCGUCCUGACUGUAACAGUGACACAUACACUGCUCUGAACAUGAGGACCAUGUCCCCUGACUACGACACUCUGGCAAAUGUCCAUCCUGACCCUACCAGUAACCCCAACAGCGACAUGUACACAUCUCUGAACAUGAAGACCAGGUCACCAGAGUAUGACACC